UUAAAUAUUAACUGUUCACAUAAAGUUAGAAUUUUUACAGAAAGUUCUACAGCUAAAGAUAAGGAGAGGUCAUCUUCAGGCUUCUUCCUUGUCAUCGUCACCAUCUAAAGAGUCUAGAAGAGAUGGAUCUACCUUGGCCCGAGCUUUUUCUUGCCUUUACUUCGACAGAUUUCAUAUCCUUUCGCAUACAUGUGGACGAUCUUAUUGUUCAGUUCGGCGGAUUUUCUGUAUUCUGCCUGGAUCUCCUUACGAAAGUCUUCGGUCAGUGGCGGACUCAAAUUCUUAAGGGCCCGAAGCUCUUUGAGCUCUUCUUCGAGCUUCUGACGAUGUACCAGAUGCUUUGAUCCUUUAGCUUGACAGAUCGACAUUUAUAUCAGUGAUGACCC
rnacentral:lncRNA from 1 species